GGGAGGAGAAAAAGAAAGAAAACGAAGGGAAGAGAAGAGAGAUCGGGAAGAAGGAGAAAAAACAAAAACAGAGGAGAGAGAGAGGAAGAACCGACAGAAGAGAGAAACCGAGAGGAGAGAAAAACAGAAAAAAAACAGAGGAAAGAAAAACAGACUGAGAGAAGAGAGGGAGGGGAAGAAAAAGAGAAGACCGAAACAUAGAAAAAAAGGAAAACGGACGUCCGGAACAGCUGCAGCGCCGCCUGGAACCGCCGCCCGUGGGCUACGCCUCCGCCACAGCGCCGCCAGAAACGCAGCAAGCCGCUGCCU
rnacentral:lncRNA from 1 species